AUGAGUGAGAUCAGCACCUGAUUUGGAAAUGCACCUGUGGCCUGGGGGAACCUCCUGACCAACACAGCCCACAGCAGAUAAGAGAGGAUGGGCAGGACAAGGAAAUUUCUCUCCUAAGAAUGACUUUUAUUUGUUUGUUUUCUGACAAAGAGUUUAGAGGUGGAUGGUUCUAAAGGCAGGUGAACUAUAACACUCAUAGAGACCAGAUAUUUCCAAGAAUAACAGCUAUUUUUGGCUUGAGAUCAAUCAUGAAGAAAACAGAAGUUCUGAAGACUUCUAAGAGCUGCUGGCAUUCCAGUCUGAUUAGCCACAAAAUGAAGAGCACCAUUUAUCCCUGGGAUCAUACACCAGAGCCAAGCAGGAAGGGCAGCGUGGCCAGAUGGCAGAGAGAGUGGAACAGCAGCAAGGAGUGAGCCCUUCCUUAGGAUUGCCUCAGCAUUGUUUUCAACACCCCACAUUUCAGGAGUUUACUUUUGGGGAAGGCAAACAUUGAAGGGCAAGAUUCAAAACCAUCUCACUUUGGAGAAACUAACUAAAUGAAAAUAACUACACUGAGGAAGGCAUAAUCAAAUACAGAUAUGUCUUUGAAGAAAAGGGUGGCUCUGCAAAACUGACUCUUUGACAAAUCAGUUCAAUCAGUUCAAGGAAGAAGAUUUAAAAUUGAUAAAAGAUAACAACUGAUGAAAAAAUGAUUAACACUGAGUACAACAAGCAAUAUGAUGGAGUCUUCUCUAUGAUGCUUUAGUAAUAAGGUGCAGCCCUGGGUGACUUGUGUGUGGAAUCAGUAUCCCACAAAUGAUGUUUUAAAAGUACUACAGAGGUUGGAAAUGCCUUGUGUGCACUUCAUUUAACUCACAGACACAAGAAGAGAUGGCUUUAAAACAAUCUAUCAGGUAUCACACCAAGCUCCUUAACUUACCCCUCCCAUUGUAAUGCCAUCAAUAAGUGCCACAUAUGGCUUCUUGCAGGUGCCUGUAAAAAAAGGUAAACAAUCAUUCAUCUUUUUCAAGAGUGGGCCUGUGACUGGCUGCCACAUGACAGGCUUGCCUAUGUCUUCAGCAAGAGCAGCAGAAAAUAAAUGAGAAUUUAAGCAGUAAUCAUAUUAUCAUCUUACAAUGAAGGUCUUCUUUGAAGCAGAUCAAUGAUACUCAGGGCAGAACUGCAGUGUCUGCAGCUAAAACUAAUUCUUCCACAGAGGAAAUAGAGCUAACCAGAACAAUGGGAUGGGAUGAAGUAGCUGUCACAAUAACUUACACAAAAGAAACACAUUCUGCAUGCAAGGAAUAAAAAUGGGGUACGUUAUAUUACUGGUAUUGAACUUGGUUUAAAAAAAAUUACUACUUCUCUGAUGUUACCACAGUCUUUAAUAGAUUAUCAAAGAGAUACAUUUACAUUUGAAGCCAGUGUUAUGAAAACUGUACUGUUUCAGAAAUUGUUAUUAACAUACCAAUGGCAUUGUUCAGCCUAUAUUCUCCUAUGAAGAAAUCUUGUGUCAGUCUAUCUCCAACUUUUCCCGCUUCUGUGAUGGCUUAAAGAGAAAUAAAAAUUCCGAAGAUAACUGUAAGUUUAGUAGAAAAUACAAGUAAAAGAAAACAAUGACACAUAAAUUGGGUCUUUUCCUACAGCAAAUAGAGACCUAUUUUAUCUUGCUUUAUUAUAUUUGAGAAAAUUUGCUCAAAUUUCAAUAUGAACGCAAGUCUCAAAUUUGAUUUAACUGUAUUUUGCUGGACACUUUGUCACAUACUUGUGAGAGUACUGUCCAUUUUCUAACCCCUCCUAAUGUCUAGUACUCAUUUCUGUUACUUUUCAUACCAAUAUUUAGAACAGUCACUUAAAACUGAAUAUACUGAAGACUCGAAACACUAAAAAUGAGAAGACAAGUAGAGCAUGGCAUUAAAAUACAUUGUUAUACAUUGUUAUAACAAAAACCUGUGCUGCUUGCUUACCUACAAUUUACAAAAAUUUUGCUUAUUUUGUCACUUUGGAGACUUCCUGCAGUUCAUAGCUAAAAAAUAAUCCCAGAUACAUUGAUCACCCUUGUCAGAUCUGUAUCUAGCCACCUAAAACAUUAGACACAAAUUAUCCAAUACUACCAGAGCUACCUGUUAGGGCCCUUCCAAUUUCUUGGAAAGAAGAUGUCAGUAAUGAAAAUGUGGGAAGAGAAAUGUAGAGACAUGAACCCUCCCCUCCCAGAAUGACUGGCUGCUGUAAUCAGUUAUUCAUAAAAAUGUAAUUUUUACUCUUUUAUACACUGUCCUGACAGCUGUCUGCUGACAAAUACCUUGAUGUGCAGAUGCUAUUUAAGCUAUCAUAAGAGUCAGCAUAACGGAUCUUUUAUUCUUGUGUAGCAAGAUUUUGCUUACCCAAGUCACACUAAACAAAGGAAAUCAACACAAAGUAGUGACUGGGGAAGACAUGAAAUGUUUAAGUGAGGAUAGUCCUUACCUCGGAUGUCACCCCCAGCACAAAAAGCUUUUCCUCCAGUUCCUUUUAUAAUUAUUAGGAAAGUUUCAGGAUCUUGCUCCCAUGUCUAAAAAAAGAAGUAAAUAUUUCCACAGAAGACUAAAAUCUGUAUAAAUAAUUCUUGUUCUGUUUAGUGUCCAUAACUGUUACUUCACUUUUCCAAAAAGCAAAUGAAAGCAUACUUUAAAAUAGAUUGUCUUAAACUGAAGUCUGAGAUCUAAAUGUCUUUCUGCCACUUCUACAUCUUAUUCAAGCAUGAGAGCAGAGAUCAGCAGAGCUGCCUUCCUAUUUCAGAAAAACACCUGUGCACAGUUCUCAGCCUCUGAAGAAAGGCAGCACCCCACAAAAUGGCCUGACAGAAAUCAAGAACUGACACCUUUUCAGGCUGUGCUUCAAAAAUGUCUAAUGAACACCAAAAGGCAUCAGACAAUUAUCCAACAAAUAUUGGUAUCUAAUGAAUUUGACUCUGUGCAUAUGAUAAACAGUAGCAUUAAAUUAAAAGAGACUAAUUUUAUGCUUCAAGUGUCAUGGUACUUCACUAGCUUGUAGAAACAGUGCCUGCAAAUCCAUGAGUUCUCAGUUAAUGACUGACACUGACAGCCCCCUGCUUCCUAGUGCCUGGUGUCUUUUAUUCUCAGCCAUGCAGCCUCUCCACAAAACAUGCACUCCAUCAAGAGGCAACACCACUGCAUGGGUUGAAAUUUGAGCCAACUGACCAGGUGGGUGCUGCCAAAAGGAACUCACAAAUGCUGAGCACUGCUUGCUCUUAAUUCAGUCCUGGUAUUAACAUGGAUGUGCAUUUACUUAUGGAGAUGCUAAAUUUAUCUCUGUCUGAGAGCUUGUUCUUUGAUGUAUCUCCUCUUUCUAAUUUGCUUGAAGCUGCCUGGUUUUUCCCAUGCUGUAAAUCUGAGCUCACUGUACUCACACAAACAUUCAUCCUUUAAGUCAGUACACUAAGAAGUGUAUAAUUGCAUUUUAAAAUUGGUUUCAAAUAACAUAUGUGGAUGAGUAGAAGUGGAGCUACUAACCUUUAUUUGAGGAUAAAUUUUUUG